CUGCACUCAUAUCGGCUUGAUGCGGAGCUAGCCAUCAAAACGAUCGUAUUCAUCAGCUUUAUUCAGGUGCUCAUGGUAGUUGUGGUCUACUGCAAUAGGGGCAAAUGGCUACGAGUAUUUCCAGCCAACUUCUUGGUCCUUACCGCUUUCACCUUAGUAAAUGCGGUUUCCAUAUCCGUGGCGGACAACGCCUUCAGGUGUAACGUGCUACUAUAUUCGAUCGAGGUGAUCUCCUUAGCCUUCCUGGUGCUGGCCAUUUUUGCAGCACAAAAGUGGAUUAAAUACUCUUGGAGUCGAGCAUUACUGUUGGCAACCGUAAUUCUGCUACCAGCACUAACGCUAAUCGAGUAUUUCACACAAGAUGCUUCAACUCCCAGCAUGCUUGAACUGGGAAUUGUCAUCGCCUUAAUUACUCUAUGUUUUUUCAUCAUCCUUGACUUGAACUCAAUUACGACUGGCAGGAGAGCAAAGUUCUUUUUGAUAACUGACAUUUUCCCAAAAGAUUACGUUUUAGGCGUGUUGGUUUUAUACAUGGACCUGGCUGGAUUAAUACUGGUGAUUGCCGUUACUUUAUUUUCCUCCUUUGACUAAACGAUCGAUAUUGUGUAAAGUAUUGGCUUAAUCUAAAAUUCACUGAGGUGAACAAAAAAUGCUUAAGGACCAAGAAAAUUCAGUUGCGGCUUCCACCAUAAGUCUGUUAACGAACAAUAAGAUGAGUGAAUCUGCUAUCAGAUAGAGAGCAAGGUCCGCCAUUCUGAAAUUACUUAUAUUUAAAGCGUAACAUUGACCACUUUUUUAAUAUAAUUAAUAAAAAACUGUUAUUUUUUGUAUUGUUUUUGUAUCCAAGUAAACUUGAAUAAAAUGAAAUUAGAAAACCUUA